AUUGAACGCUGGCGGUAGGCCUAACACAUGCAAGUCGAACGCGAAAGUCCUUCGGGAUGAGUAGAGUGGCGGACGGGUGAGUAACGCGUAGGAAUCUGUCCUGUAGUGGGGGAUAACGUUUCGAAAGGAACGCUAAUACCGCAUACGCCCUACGGGGGAAAGCGGGGGAUCUUCGGACCUCGUGCUAUAGGAGGAGCCUGCGUCGGAUUAGCUAGUUGGUGAGGUAAAGGCUCACCAAGGCGACGAUCCGUAGCUGGUCUGAGAGGAUGAUCAGCCACACCGGAACUGAGACACGGUCCGGACUCCCACGGGAGGCAGCAGUGGGGAAUUUUGGACAAUGGGGGCAACCCUGAUCCAGCCAUGCCGCGUGAGUGAAGAAGGCCUUCGGGUUGUAAAGCUCUUUCGGCCGGGGAGAAAUCGUAUGGGCUAAUACCCUGUGCGGAUGACGGUACCGGCAUAAGAAGCACCGGCUAACUACGUGCCAGCAGCCGCCGUAAUAC
rnacentral:rRNA from 1 species